GCUAAACGCGAAGAACCUUACCAAGGCUUGACAUAUAGAGGAAACGUCUGGAAACAGUCGCCCCGCAAGGUCUCUAUACAGGUGGUGCAUGGUUGUCGUCAGCUCGUGUCGUGAGAUGUUGGGUUAAGUCCCGCAACGAGCGCAACCCUCGUUCUAUGUUGCCAGCACGUAAUGGUGGGAACUCAUAGGAGACUGCCGGGGUCAACUCGGAGGAAGGUGGGGAUGACGUCAAAUCAUCAUGCCCCUUAUGUCUUGGGCUUCACGCAUGCUACAAUGGCCGAUACAAAGGGCUGCAAUACCGUAAGGUGGAGCGAAUCCCAAAAAGUCGGUCUCAGUUCGGAUUGAGGUCUGCAACUCGACCUCAUGAAGUCGGAGUCGCUAGUAAUCGCAGAUCAGCAACGCUGCGGUGAAUCCGUUCCCGGGUCUUGUACACACCG
rnacentral:rRNA from 1 species